rnacentral:rRNA from 1 species
AUUGAACGCUGGCGGCAGGCCUAACACAUGCAAGUCGAGCGGUAGAGAGAAGCUUGCUUCUCUUGAGAGCGGCGGACGGGUGAGUAAUGCCUAGGAAUCUGCCUGGUAGUGGGGGAUAACGUUCGGAAACGGACGCUAAUACCGCAUACGUCCUACGGGAGAAAGCAGGGGACCUUCGGGCCUUGCGCUAUCAGAUGAGCCUAGGUCGGAUUAACUAGUUGGUGGGGUAAUGGCUCACCAAGGCGACGAUCCGUAACUGGUCUGAGAGGAUGAUCAGUCACACUGGAACUGAGACACGGUCCAGACUCCUACGGGAGGCAGCAGUGGGGAAUAUUGGACAAUGGGCGAAAGCCUGAUCCAGCCAUGCCGCGUGUGUGAAGAAGGUCUUCGGAUUGUAAAGCACUUUAAGUUGGGAGGAAGGGCAGUAAAUUAAUACUUUGCUGUUUUGACGUUACCGACAGAAUAAGCACCGGCUAACUCUGUG